rnacentral:rRNA from 1 species
AACGCGAAGAACCUUACCUACCCUUGACAUCUAGCGAAUUCUGCUUAGGGGCAGAAGUGCCGAAAGGAGCGCUAAGACAGGUGCUGCAUGGCUGUCGUCAGCUCGUGUCGUGAGAUGUUGGGUUAAGUCCCGUAACGAGCGCAACCCCUGUGAACUGUUGCUACCCAGCACCACUUUUGUUCCCAAUCCUGCCAGUCGAGGACCGCAUUGGAGACAAAAUGGUGCUGGGGCACUCUGUUCAGACUGCCCUGUGAAACGGGGAGGAAGGUGGGGAUGACGUCAAGUCAGGAUGGCCCUUACGCCCAGGGCUGCACACGUACUACAAUGCUCAGUACAGAACGACCCGAAAUCGCGAGGUGGAGGAAAUCACUAAAACUGAGCCCAGUUCGGAUUGUAGGCUGCAACUCGCCUACAUGAAGCCGGAAUCGCUAGUAAUGGCGUAUCAGCUACGACGCCGUGAAUACGUUCCCGGGCCUUGUACACACCGCGCAUAG